CUGACCUGCGCGCCGGUCACCGAAGGGUUGGGCUCCCGGGCCGUGCCCAGGAGCUGUCCGUGGCCCUGGGCGUUCAGAGUGCCCAGCAAAAAGCUUGGCCCCUUAGAUGUACUCCGAGGGAAGAAAGCAUUAGAGUCUCUGGAAGAAUUCCUCGACUCUGGGCAGGAGAAGGUAGAGCACACAAGCUUUGGUCCACAUCCCAUCAUCACCUGGCUGUGGAGAAGGCUGUGCCAGGCUGCGGCGGGACUAAAGAAGAGCCAACGCAAGAGGGGUACCCACAGGGCAGGCAGCUGUCUACCAGAUGCAAGCUUCUCUGGUCCACAGGGCCUCCGGACUCUUGCAGCCCACUUCACACGUGUGUGUGUGUGUGUGUGUGUGUGUGUGUGUGUGUGUGUGUGUGUGUAGCUGCGUGGAUGCGGGAAUGCUUCACCUCUGGAGUCCCCACGCCUGAGAUGAGGUCCCAGACGAUUGUCCGUGGGGCUAAGAGACAUAGAGGUGGGGCUGUGGGAAUGUGGACGUGCAGGCGAGAAACUUGGCAAUACCCACCCACCUGCGCCCUCUUUCCUUCCUUUAAGGAGGGGGAGGGGGUCGGCAGUGGGGCUCACAUACCCGCGCGGAGCUUUUAUUGAAUACUAGGCUGUAACUGUACCAGGAGAGGGUGGGUGGGAGGUGGGACUGAAGGCGAUUCUGUCCCCCACCGUGGCUGUUCCAGAUGCCCCAAAUACUCCAGAGGAUUCCCACCUCCCUGGAACUAACCGGCACCCUGUUCCCUACAUCACCUGAGAAACCUUCCUCCCAACAAUAGAUGGUCAUAAUGUACUUGACUAAUGCCCGUAUUUUCCUGUUUAACAUACAUUAAUCCAAGUAACAAAAAAAAAAAAUCAAUAUCGCUAACAACAUUGCAAACAAAUCUUAGUCCAUCUCACACAAAAACCUCCUCAGAUUUUCAAUCACUCCCAUCGCCUUGAAUUUUGUUAAUCUCCGAGGCAGCUCAUAGUAGCUCCUGGCUACUGUGAAAGUAACCUCCAACUUUUUAAUAGCCGUCUCUAAAAUUCCAUCCUCCCCCAACCUUUCAUCGUGGGUAUAUAUGUGGAGAGCCACUUCAGGACCAUCUCAGGACCUCAAGUUCUCCAAAAUCUGUCCCAUUGGGCACCAGCAAAUACCUAAGGUCACCGGACAAUAUUCUGGAUUUUGUUUCUCUCCUGGACAAAACUCUGUAUGUGGUAGAUUCCAGCAUCUUCCCAGAGUAGGGGACCCCACACUUCCGAUCUUCUCAGGCUUUUGGUGUCUAUUCUAGCUAUCCUGAAUCUAAUGUCAGCUGGCGGUUCUUGCUGGGAGUUUAUUGUAAUAAUUAUUUUUAAAAAAUGGUGUUUUCCGCCCGAAAGAAACAAAAUAGAGGGGCCCGGCUAAUGAAGGAACUUAGGUUUGCAAAACACCAUAAAUAAUUCAUUAUUGUAUUUCAAGGGAAAAAAUAGCUUUCUUAAAUCAUCUCCGCAAUAUAAAUGGCAGACUUACAGUACAGUCCUGGUAAGCCUAAAUUUUUAAAGGAGUAAUAUUCAAAGAGACAUAGAUGUCUGUAUUAAUUAUUUAUUCGCCGGUGCCUUCCUUCGUUUCUGACUUAUUAUUAAUUAGGCGCCUCCAGUCUCUCGCAGAGCGCUCCACUGAGCCGGUUGCAGCUUUAAAUAUGAAUUAAAAGCAAAUCCAAGCUAC